rnacentral:rRNA from 1 species
GAUGAACGCUGGCGGCGUGCCUAAUACAUGCAAGUCGAGCGAACAGACGAGGAGCUUGCUCCUCUGACGUUAGCGGCGGACGGGUGAGUAACACGUGGAUAACCUACCUAUAAGACUGGGAUAACUUCGGGAAACCGGAGCUAAUACCGGAUAAUAUAUUGAACCGCAUGGUUCAAUAGUGAAAGACGGUUUUGCUGUCACUUAUAGAUGGAUCCGCGCCGCAUUAGCUAGUUGGUAAGGUAACGGCUUACCAAGGCAACGAUGCGUAGCCGACCUGAGAGGGUGAUCGGCCACACUGGAACUGAAACACGGUCCAGACUCCUAUGGGAGGCAGCAGAAGGGAAUCUUCCGCAGUGGGCGAAAGCUUGACGGAGCAACGCCGCGUGAGUGAUGAAGGUCUUCGGAUCGUAAAACUCUGUUAUUAGGGAAGAACAAAUGUGUAAGUAACUAUACACGUCUUGACGGUACCUGAUCAGAAAGCCACGGCUAACUACGUG